rnacentral:rRNA from 1 species
AUGCUUUCACAUGCAANCUCGAACGGCAGCGCGGGCUUCGGCCUGGCGGCGAGUGGCGAACGGGUGAGUAAUAUAUCGGAACGUACCCAGAAGUGGGGGAUAACGUAGCGAAAGUUACGCUAAUACCGCAUACGAUCUACGGAUGAAAGCAGGGGACCUUCGGGCCUUGUGCUUUUGGAGCGGCCGAUAUCUGAUUAGCUAGUUGGUGAGGUAAGAGCUCACCAAGGCGACGAUCAGUAGCUGGUCUGAGAGGACGACCAGCCACACUGGAACUGAGACACGGUCCAGACUCCUACGGGAGGCAGCAGUGGGGAAUUUUGGACAAUGGGGGCAACCCUGAUCCAGCAAUGCCGCGUGAGUGAAGAAGGCCUUCGGGUUGUAAAGCUCUUUUGUCAGGGAAGAAAAGGCGAUGGCUAAUAUCCAUCGCUGCUGACGGUACCUGAAGAAUAAGCACCGGCUAACUACGUGCCAGCAGCCGCGGUAAUACGUAGGGUGCAAGCGUUAAUCGGAAUUACUGGGCGUAAAGCGUGCGCAGGCGGUUUCGUAAGUCUGAUGUGAAAUCCCCGGGCUCAACCUGGGAAUUGCAUUGGAGACUGCGAGGCUAGAAUCGCGUUAUCGGAUUCUGGCCCGUAAAGCGUGCGCAGGCGGUUUCGUAAGUCUGAUGUGAAAUCCCCGGGCUCAACCUGGGAAUUGCAUUGGAGACUGCGAGGCUAGAAUCUGGCAGAGGGGGGUAGAAUU